AUGUGCCCUACUGUAUCUUUUGUGAUUCCUAUUUUGGAGACCCUGGCGGCGCAUGUUCCUUUGCCUACUCUUUUGUACAUGUGUGAGAUAGCCGACGAUGGGGCUGUGAUUGCUGGUGUUGAGCUUGAGCUUCCUACGGAUAGUGUGUCCCUGCUUCCAGAUAGGACGUUGCUAAAAUUUCUGCAGGGGGGCUAUGGGUUUGUUAUCAGGGACUACGGGUUUCAUAGUGUUGGUUCAUACCAUUCAGGAGCAGUGCUGGUGCUAAGAACGCUGGCAAUGCAAAGAAAACAAGGCAGUAAUUCAUCUAUCGCCUAA
rnacentral:rRNA from 1 species